rfam:Camelus ferus unplaced genomic scaffold scaffold595, whole genome shotgun sequence.
ACAAAGGCCCUUUUCAGGGCCGCCCACACAGUCAUGAAAGAGCUGU